AAGUCGUAACAAGGUCUCCGUUGGUGAACCAGCGGAGGGAUCAUUACAGAGUUGCAAAACUCCCACAAACCAUCGCGAAUCUUACCCGUACGGUUGCCUCGGCGCUGGCGGUCCGGAAGGCCUCUCGGGGCCCCCGGACCCUCGGGUCUCCCGCUCGCGGGAGGCUGCCCGCCGGAGUGCCGAAACCAAACUCUUGAUAAUUUUAUGUUUCUCUGAGUAAACUUUUAAAUAAGUCAAAACUUUCAACAACGGAUCUCUUGGUUCUG
rnacentral:misc_RNA from 1 species